AUGACAGUUGAAAGAUAGUUUGAUUAAUUAGAUGCAGUGUUUUCCACUGAUAAACAGCAACUCGCUUUGUUUAUGCAAAACUCGUAACCCGAACCAAAGGGGAAUUUUGAAUCCCUCAAAACUUCCAUAAGCCAACUUCCAACUGAACUAAAAAUGUAACUGCCUCUGGGCCCUUGCCCAUGUAUAAAAAUAGCUUCAAUAAGCUCAAUAAUCGUAAAGAUAAGUGUCAAUUGCAGGCGAUAAGACAGGAAGAGAGAUGUUAGCAGAUAGCUAAUCAUGAUCGGUAAACAUGGAAGGAAUAUGACACAGAAAGACAGAAGGUUCAGUACAGCUGUUAUUGACAGACAGAUGGAUGGGUGUGUCACUGUGUUUGCUGGUUGUUGCUUUCACCUUUCCAGUGCUUUCACCUGUACAAAUGAACCUAGCCAAAGGUAAACAGUCCAGAUAAACCACUGUAAAUGCAGCCUGAGGUUAUGGUCCAGGAAAAAAAAGGAAGAAAUGUAGAGCUCUGCAAAGUGAGGAUUAACGGGUUCAAUGAGUUUCUACCCUCAGACCUGCUUUUAUAGAAGAAAAAUUACAACCCGCCUUAUGACUUCAGCUUUUGGCCAGUAAAUACUUUUGUUCAGGAGUGAAUAAUAAAUGUUUCAUCUCACGAAGAAUCACAUUAAAAAGAAAAAAGUUAUUUAAGUAGCUAUAAAAAAGCUGGUUAUGGGACUUCUGUGAUUUCUUAACGGUACAGCGUGUAAAAUCUAACCACUAGAUGUCAGUACAUGGCAGAUUACGGUUAACUGAAUGCUUUUUUCUUACUCCUCCCAAUUUAAGUGCAUAAUCCUGUCUAUGGUGGCCACUGUAGGACAAACAACUCGGCCAACAGUACAAUUGUAGCGAGUGUUUGCUGUCAGUUAGCUGUUUAUGCCACAUCUAUUUCUCCGAAGGAGGCUGUAAAACUUUCCGAAAAGACUCCGAUAUGCCUCGAUUGUCAUGGUUCCCUGUGUCUCCCCAGCGAUCUCGGUGUUGCUGUUGUUGCUUUCUCUCUCUGGCCUUUCUCUCUUGCUCGCCUCUGCUGGGGUUCCCACCUCUGGCCCAUGCCCUUGCAAGUAAUCACGCACCUGCAGCUCAUUGUCCUGAACUUCAGCCACUAUUUAGGCGACAGCUCAGCGUUUCUCGUCACUGGAUCGUUGUACGACACUCACCAAUGUAGCCCCGACUCUUUCCUGUGUAUCGUCGUUUCUCGUGUUUCCCUGGCUUCUAAUUUUCUUCCCCUGUACAUAGAUCUUCUUGGACCCAUCCCCGUUUCCACCCCUGGAGUUGCAAUCUUGAUUGUUUUGAGUCCUGCGCCUGAGUUCACUCGUUUGUUGUGACAUCAAUGAAUCAGUGAAGCUCACGUGUCCGUUUCAGCGAUACCAAGAUACUGACCACUGCAGACCAGGAACACCCCACAAGAACUGGAGAUUUGGAGAUGCCCAAAGCUGACCCAGCCAUCCAGCCAUCACAUUUUGGACCUUGUGCUUUUUACUGACUCUAGCACAGCAACUUUGAGGACAAAAUGGCCACUUGCUCUCUAAUAUAUCCCACUCAGGUUCCAUGAUCACUGUGCAUCUUGGUUGUGUUAUUGUUUCCCAUCUUUUAAGCUCCUGUUUUCUCUGGUUUUAAUCAUGUAACACAUGUAAUGCAGAAAUA